GGUUAAGCGACUAAGCGUACACGGUGGAUGCCCUGGCAGUCAGAGGCGAUGAAGGACGUGCUAAUCUGCGAAAAGCGUCGGUAAGGUGAUAUGAACCGUUAUAACCGGCGAUGUCCGAAUGGGGAAACCCAGUGCAAUUCGUUGCACUAUCGUUAACUGAAUACAUAGGUUAACGAGGCGAACCGGGGGAACUGAAACAUCUAAGUACCCCGAGGAAAAGAAAUCAACCGAGAUUCCCCCAGUAGCGGCGAGCGAACGGGGAGCAGCCCAGAGUCUGAAUCAGCUUGUGUGUUAGUGGAACGGUCUGGAAAGUCCGACGGUACAGGGUGAUAGUCCCGUACACCAAAAUGCACAGGCUGUGAACUCGAAGAGUAGGGCGGGACACGUGGUAUCCUGUCUGAAUAUGGGGGGACCAUCCUCCAAGGCUAAAUACUCCUGACUGACCGAUAGUGAACCAGUACCGUGAGGGAAAGGCGAAAAGAACCCCGGCGAGGGGAGUGAAAAAGAACCUGAAACCGUGUACGUACAAGCAGUGGGAGCACCUUCGGGUGUGACUGCGUACCUUUUGUAUAAUGGGUCAGCGACUUAUAUUCUGUAGCAAGGUUAACCGUAUAGGGGAGCCGCAGGGAAACCGAGUCUUAACUGGGCGUUAAGUUGCAGGGUAUAGACCCGAAACCCGGUGAUCUAGCCAUGGGCAGGUUGAAGGUUGGGUAACACUAACUGGAGGACCGAACCGACUAAUGUUGAAAAAUUAGCGGAUGACUUGUGGCUGGGGGUGAAAGGCCAAUCAAACCGGGAGAUAGCUGGUUCUCCCCGAAAGCUAUUUAGGUAGCGCCUCGUGAAUUCAUCUUCGGGGGUAGAGCACUGUUUCGGCUAGGGGGUCAUCCCGACUUACCAACCCGAUGCAAACUACGAAUACCGAAGAAUGUUAUCACGGGAGACACACGGCGGGUGCUAACGUCCGUCGUGAAGAGGGAAACAACCCAGACCGCCAGCUAAGGUCCCAAAGUCAUGGUUAAGUGGGAAACGAUGUGGGAAGGCACAGACAGCCAGGAUGUUGGCUUAGAAGCAGCCAUCAUUUAAAGAAAGCGUAAUAGCUCACUGGUCGAGUCGGCCUGCGCGGAAGAUGUAACGGGGCUAAACCAUGCACCGAAGCUGCGGCAGCGACACUAUGUGUUGUUGGGUAGGGGAGCGUUCUGUAAGCCUGCGAAGGUGACCUGUGAGGGUUGCUGGAGGUAUCAGAAGUGCGAAUGCUGACAUAAGUAACGAUAAAGCGGGUGAAAAGCCCGCUCGCCGGAAGACCAAGGGUUCCUGUCCAACGUUAAUCGGGGCAGGGUGAGUCGACCCCUAAGGCGAGGCCGAAAGGCGUAGUCGAUGGGAAACAGGUUAAUAUUCCUGUACUUGGUGUUACUGCGAAGGGGGGACGGAGAAGGCUAUGUUAGCCGGGCGACGGUUGUCCCGGUUUAAGCAUGUAGGCUGGUUAUCCAGGCAAAUCCGGAUAAUCAAGGCUGAGGUGUGAUGACGAGGCACUACGGUGCUGAAGUAACAAAUGCCCUGCUUCCAGGAAAAGCCUCUAAGCAUCAGGUAACAUUAAAUCGUACCCCAAACCGACACAGGUGGUCAGGUAGAGAAUACCAAGGCGCUUGAGAGAACUCGGGUGAAGGAACUAGGCAAAAUGGUGCCGUAACUUCGGGAGAAGGCACGCUGGUGUGUAGGUGAAGUCCCUGCGGAUGGAGCUGAGACCAGUCGAAGAUACCAGCUGGCUGCAACUGUUUAUUAAAAACACAGCACUGUGCAAACACGAAAGUGGACGUAUACGGUGUGACGCCUGCCCGGUGCCGGAAGGUUAAUUGAUGGGGUUAUCCGUAAGGAGAAGCUCUUGAUCGAAGCCCCGGUAAACGGCGGCCGUAACUAUAACGGUCCUAAGGUAGCGAAAUUCCUUGUCGGGUAAGUUCCGACCUGCACGAAUGGCGUAAUGAUGGCCAGGCUGUCUCCACCCGAGACUCAGUGAAAUUGAACUCGCUGUGAAGAUGCAGUGUACCCGCGGCAAGACGGAAAGACCCCGUGAACCUUUACUAUAGCUUGACACUGAACAUUGAGCCUUGAUGUGUAGGAUAGGUGGGAGGCUUUGAAGCGUGGACGCCAGUCUGCGUGGAGCCGACCUUGAAAUACCACCCUUUAAUGUUUGAUGUUCUAACGUUGGCCCCUUACCGGGGUUGCGGACAGUGUCUGGUGGGUAGUUUGACUGGGGCGGUCUCCUCCCAAAGCGUAACGGAGGAGCACGAAGGUUAGCUAAUCCUGGUCGGACAUCAGGAGGUUAGUGCAAUGGCAUAAGCUAGCUUGACUGCGAGCGUGACGGCGCGAGCAGGUGCGAAAGCAGGUCAUAGUGAUCCGGUGGUUCUGAAUGGAAGGGCCAUCGCUCAACGGAUAAAAGGUACUCCGGGGAUAACAGGCUGAUACCGCCCAAGAGUUCAUAUCGACGGCGGUGUUUGGCACCUCGAUGUCGGCUCAUCACAUCCUGGGGCUGAAGUAGGUCCCAAGGGUAUGGCUGUUCGCCAUUUAAAGUGGUACGCGAGCUGGGUUUAGAACGUCGUGAGACAGUUCGGUCCCUAUCUGCCGUGGGCGCUGGAGAAUUGAGGGGGGCUGCUCCUAGUACGAGAGGACCGGAGUGGACGCAUCACUGGUGUUCGGGUUGUCAUGCCAAUGGCACUGCCCGGUAGCUAAAUGCGGAAGAGAUAAGUGCUGAAAGCAUCUAAGCACGAAACUUGCCCCGAGAUGAGUUCUCCCUGAGACUUUAAGUCUCCUGAAGGAACGUUGAAGACGACGACGUUGAUAGGCCGGGUGUGUAAGCGCAGCGAUGCGUUGAGCUAACCGGUACUAAUGAACCGUGAGGCUUAACCUU
rnacentral:rRNA from 1 species